rnacentral:lncRNA from 1 species
ACUAAAAUAUUUAUUCUGAUAGGAACUAGGUAUACAACCAACUAUGCAACGAGUAGUUUAAAGUGUUGCGUUGAUUUUCGGUGCGACUUGAUGGAAUAUCUGGUUACUUUGGAAUUGUUAAGUUUACAAUCUGUCAAGGAUUUUCCGCCGAACGUGGUUGACAGAAGUGAAAGACUUCACUCUUUCGAAGGAUUUGGUAGAAAUAACAUCUCCAAUCUCCAAUGGCCGGUGAUUCUAUCUAGAAGAGAAUUUGUGUUAAAAUCUGGUUUUAUGUGAAUGCUGAAUAUAAGUUAGAAGUUGUGUUUUUUUUUGGUUUUGGUGAAGUAUAGGAGAGGAGUUUCGUUGCUUUUUACAGCAUCACCGGUCAUUGGAGAAGAAGAUAGAGUCCAAGUAGUCAUUAAUUUAUUCUUUUAAAUGGAAAAAUACUAAGUUGGGAAUUUUGGGUCAAUUUUGUUGGAUAUGGGCAUGGAAUUUUUGUUGAGUUUCCGGUACUAGGAAGUACAUCCUCGUCGAGACAAGUACCCUCCACCCCUAAGGUUGGGAAAACCUGGAAAAUACUGUACUUGGGUCUCUUCCGAUCAUCACCCUCGAAGGAGGUUGGAUGAGAAAUACACCUUCACUUGUGUGGAAGCGACAGGUUUUAUAAAUAGAAUUUGCAUGUCAAUUUAUUUAAUAAUACCUUUAAAUUUUACUCUUUUUGUCAAUAACUGUUAAUAAUAAUUUAUCUUCAUUUUUCUUAAAAUAUAAUUAACCUAAUAACAUUCAAUAUUUUGAUACAUUAAAUCUUUCCACUGUUUCUAUCAUUUGUUUACAAUAGUUUGAAGGUUGUAAACCAUCUUGUUGUAAGAGUGUUGUGCACAAUAUUCGGGGGUUUAGAACCUUAUUUCAUAACCUAUUUAAAUAAAAUUUAUUUCAUCGGUUAGGCAUUGUCACCUCCGAUCAGAUACGGGAUUGUCAGCCAAUCGUGUAUCCUUCCUUAAUCAUAAGUUGUACACACUGUUGGAUAUAAUUAAUUUCUUACAUAUUUUCAUAUUGUAAAACCUGCGUUAUCGACAGGAGCUUACUAGCCUAGUACGUCCGGUAAGUUAGCUAGUUUGUAUAAAAUUGUAUAUAGGGGUUAUAGGUAUUUUUUUUUCAUUAAAUUUGUUGGUUGUACAUA